GAUCCUGGCUCAGGAUGAACGCUAGCUACAGGCUUAACACAUGCAAGUCGAGGGGGCAUCAGGAAGAAAGCUUGCUUUCUUUGCUGGCGACCGGCGCACGGGUGAGUAACACGUAUCCAACCUGCCCUUUACUCGGGGAUAGCCUUUCGAAAGAAAGAUUAAUACCCGAUGGCAUAAUGAUUCCGCAUGGUUUCAUUAUUAAAGGAUUCCGGUAAAGGAUGGGGAUGCGUUCCAUUAGGUUGUUGGUGAGGUAACGG
rnacentral:rRNA from 1 species